CCUACUGGUGACAUCAUUGGGGCAUCUUGGACAAUGGGGGGAACCCUGAUCCAGCGACGCCGCGUGAGUUCCUCCUUCUUUCUUUCUUUCCCUCUCUCUCCUCCUUUCCUCCCUAAAUUCCUUUACCUGACUAAGAAGCCCCGGCUAACUACGUGCCAGCAGCCGCGGUAAUACGUCGGGGUCAAUCGUUAUCCUGCUUUACUGUGUGUAAAGGGAGAUUAUACGUCGAUGCAAGUCUGAAGUGAAAGGCGGGGGCACAACCUCCGGACUGCGGGGGAAACUGUAUGGCUGGAGUGCAGGAGAGGUAAGUGGAAUUAAUAGUGUAGAGAUGAAAGGAGUAGAGAUUAGGAGGAACACCAGUGGAGAAGGCGGCUUAAGGGACUGUAAAUGACGUUGAGGCUCGAAAGCGGGGGGAGAAAACAGGAGGAGAGAAAAGGGGAGUC
rnacentral:rRNA from 1 species